rnacentral:piRNA from 1 species
UAUGAAGAAUGACUUGGGGUACAUGACC